GCCUUAACACAUGCAAGUCGAGCGGUACCAGAAAUUAGCUUGCUAAUUUGCUGACGAGCGGCGGACGGGUGAGUAAUGCCUGGGAAUAUGCCUUGAUGUGGGGGAUAACUAUUGGAAACGAUAGCUAAUACCGCAUAAUGUCUUCGGACCAAAGAGGGGGAUCUUCGGACCUCUCGCGUCAAGAUUAGCCCAGGUGAGAUUAGCUAGUUGGUGGGGUAAGAGCUCACCAAGGCGACGAUCUCUAGCUGGUCUGAGAGGAUGAUCAGCCACACUGGAACUGAGACACGGUCCAGACUCCUACGGGAGGCAGCAGUGGGGAAUAUUGCACAAUGGGCGAAAGCCUGAUGCAGCCAUGCCGCGUGUAUGAAGAAGGCCUUCGGGUUGUAAAGUACUUUCAGUCSUGAGGAAGGGUGUGUAGUUAAUAGCUGCACAUCUUGACGUUAGCGACAGAAGAAGCACCGGCUAACUCCGUGCCAGCAGCCGCGGUAAUACGGAGGGUGCGAGCGUUAAUYGGAAUUACUGGGCGUAAAGCGCAUGCAGGUGGUUCAUUAAGUCAGAUGUGAAAGCCCG
rnacentral:rRNA from 1 species